AAGUACAUUUUUACAAAUAAAUAAAGGUGCAUUUUUACAUUACACGUAGCUUUCAAAUAUUAUAUAGUUUUCACCCCAUACAUAUGAUACAUUAAUUAAAAUAGAAAAAAAAGAAAGAAAAAAAUAGGUAAUGGAGUUGGCUUGUGUGGAGGCACGAGUUCUCAACAUUGCCCUCAUCUCCAUCAUCCUCAUGACUCAACAACAUCG
rnacentral:lncRNA from 1 species